GAUGAACGCUGGCGGCGUGCCUAAUACAUGCAAGUCGAGCGAACGGACGAGAAGCUUGCUUCUCUGAUGUUAGCGGCGGACGGGUGAGUAACACGUGGAUAACCUACCUAUAAGACUGGGAUAACUUCGCGAAACCGGAGCUAAUACCGGAUAAUAUUUUGAACCGCAUGGUUCAAAAGUGAAAGACGGUCUUGCUGUCACUUAUAGAUGGAUCCGCGCUGCAUUAGCUAGUUGGUAAGGUAACGGCUUACCAAGGCAACGAUGCAUAGCCGACCUGAGAGGGUGAUAGGCCAGACGGGAACUGAGACACGGCCCAGACUCCUACGGGAGGCAGCAGUAGGGAAUCUUCCGCCAUGGGCGAAAGCCUGACGGAGCAACGCCGCGUGAGUGAUGAAGGUCUUCGGAUCGUAAAACCCUGUUAGUAGGGAAGAACAUAUGUGUAAGUAACUGUGCACAUCUUGACGGUACCUAAUCAGAAAGCCACGGCUAACUACGUG
rnacentral:rRNA from 1 species